UAGCCUAUGGAAUCCUUUGUCACAUAGGAA
rnacentral:piRNA from 1 species